rnacentral:tRNA from 1 species
GGCAUGGUGGCCCAGUGGUUAGAGCGCCUGCUUCAUGUACGGGAGGACGUGGGUUCGAACCCCGGCCGAGUCA